AAAAGCAGGGGAUCGUAAGACCUCGCGCUAUUGGAGCGGCCGAUGUCCGAUUAGCUAGUUGGUGGGGUAAUGGCCUACCAAGGCGACGAUCGGUAGCUGGUUUGAGAGGAUGAUCAGCCACACUGGGACUGAGACACGGCCCAGACUCCUACGGGAGGCAGCAGUGGGGAAUUUUGGACAAUGGGCGAAAGCCUGAUCCAGCCAUGCCGCGUGAGUGAAGAAGGCCUUCGGGUUGUAAAGCUCUUUCGGCCGGAACGAAAUCGUCCGGGCUAAUACCCCGGAUGGAUGACGGUACCGGAAGAAGAAGCACCGGCUAACUACGUGCCAGCAGCCGCGGUAAUACGUAGGGUGCAGGCGUUAAUCGGAAUUACUGGGCGUAAAGCGUGCGCAGGCGGCUUCCUAAGUCAGAUGUGAAAUCCCCGGGCUUAACCUGGGAACUGCGUUUGAAACUACAAAGC
rnacentral:rRNA from 1 species